rnacentral:lncRNA from 1 species
AUGUGGGUACAUUGUUGGGGCCCUCCCCCCAAAAAGGUGGUUACAUUGUUGGGGCACUCCCCCCAAAAAGGUGGGUACAUUGUUGGGUCCCUCCCCCAAAAAGGCGGGUACAUUGUUGGGGCCCUCCCCCAAAAAGGUGGUUACAUUGUUGGGGCCCUCCCCCCAAAAAUGUGGGUACAUUGUUGGGGCCCUCCCCCCAAAAAGGUGGUUACAUUGUUGGGGCCCUCCCCCCAAAAAGGUGGGUACAUUGUUGGGUCCCUCCCCCAAAAAGGUGGUUACAUUGUUGGGGCCUCCCCCCAAAAAUGUGGGUACAUUGCGUUUACCCUCCACUACACCAGUGAUCCUACUCUGAGACUCUUUAUGAAUAUGGACCCUGCUUCAGUCACUCUGUAUUGAUAGCUUCAGGUUGUUGUUAUCUGCUUCCAAACAGGUGACCACUCCCUGAUUAUCUAUCUACACACAAUGAAUGAAAGCAUCAACCUUCUGGGGACUUGAACACCAGGACACUACACUUGACAGACCUCCAAGUGUAUGACCACCACACACUAGGCUGCUGUUAAGCUAAAUGGAUUUAAACAACAAUAUUGAAAAGUGUGUGUGUGUGUGUGUGUGUGUGUGUGUGUGUGUGUGUGUGUGUGUGUGUGUGUGUGUGUGUGUGUGUGUGUGUGUGUGUGUGUGUGUGUGUGUGUGUUGCAUAAAUGUCACUUCCAAAUACUGAAAAAAAGAUCAUUCUAAAUAUUUAAAGUGAAGUGUAAAGUGUGAGGUAAUAAAACCUUCCUCGACAGCAGAAGGGUUUUGUUACACUUAUAGAUAAUGUAAUAAACCAUCCUCAACAGUAGAAGGGUUAUGUUACAGUUAUAGAUAAUGUAAUAAACCAUCCUCAACAGUAGAAGGGUUUUGUUACAGCUAUAGAUAAUGUAAUAAACCAUCCUCAACAGUAGAAGGGUUAUGUUACACUUAUAGAUAAUGUAAUAAACCAUCAACAGUAGAAGGGUUAUGUUACAGCUAUAGAUAAUGUAAUAAACCAUCCUCAACAUCAGAAGGGUUUUGUUACAGCUAUAGAUAAUGUAAUAAACCAUCCUCAACAGUAGAAGGGUUAUGUUACAGUUAUAGAUAAUGUAUUAAACCAUCCUCAAAAGCAGAAGGUUUUUGUUACAGCUAUAGAUAAUGUAAUAAACCAUCCUCAACAGUAGAAGGGUUAUGUUACAGUUAUAGAUAAUGUAAUAAACCCUCCUCAACAGUAGUAGAAGGGUUAUGUCACAGUUAUGGACUUAGAUGUUUGGUCUUAGCUGUGGACAAUCAGAGACGUAGCUUGAGGCAUCAGAUCCUUUGCCUGUCAUGUCUCUGUAUCUGCACUAUGAAGGAACAGCAAUACACCAAGUCAACACUUCUGCCUUUGAACAUUCUUGUCCAGUUAAAACGCCUUUGCCUUUUUCUUUCAGUGGCAGUAUUAGUUAUUCUUAUAGAAAUGGCUAAUAUUCUGUACAUGUUUAUGAGCCAUCCACCUGCAGGAUGUUGUAUCCUGUUCUAGAGAAUCCUCUUGGUGAAUGUUUCAGUGGUUUAGAAAAGAGAUCAGACCCUGAUAUAGAGGUUCUUCAGUAGCACCACCAGUUCUCCUGUUGUGGAUUCCCCUGAUGUGUAAUGUGUGUAUCACAGAGAUGAAACACUUCUAUAUCCAUGGUGUGUAUAGUGUUUUGAGGCAGGUCAUGUACUAUAGAUUCCAUCUAUAUACUGUAGUAUGUUGUGCGUUCCCUGGUUGGACAUGGAGAUUGGAGAAGUAUUUAUUAUUAUGAUAAUAGACUUAUUUAUUUGCUCGUUGUGCACUACUUUUGACCAGGUAGUGUACUAUGUAGGGAAUAGGGUAUAAUUUCUGUCCUUUUUACCUGCCGUGGGGUUUCAAUAGGUUAGGAACUGGUCUGCAUGAUGUGGUAAAGCCAUGGAUCGACCACCAAGUAAAAUAUGCAUGGAACAAAAAGCAUUUCCUUGUGAAGUAGUGGUUUUCUACAUGUCGCUACAAUGCCCAAAUCAGCAUGUACUAACAAAUAUUAUUUCAGAAAGGGAAACAAAAGCAAUACCAAGUCACUGCUCUUCUCUCUCAUCAGUCUUUCUGCGUUUCAUUUCCUACAGUCCUUUUGAAAUGUUAAAUAAUAAAUGAAAUGUUUUGUUGUAUGAAUACAGUGUGGUGAGUUUCUGUGGAAAGACGUGCGGAUACAUAGUUCAACUCAGAGAAAUGCCUCGGCACCGCAGAACUGAGACGAG